GGUUAAGCGACUAAGCGUACACGGUGGAUGCCCUGGCAGUCAGAGGCGAUGAAGGACGUGCUAAUCUGCGAUAAGCGUCGGUAAGGUGAUAUGAACCGUUAUAACCGGCGAUUUCCGAAUGGGGAAACCCAGUGUGUUUCGACACACUAUCAUUAACUGAAUCCAUAGGUUAAUGAGGCGAACCGGGGGAACUGAAACAUCUAAGUACCCCGAGGAAAAGAAAUCAACCGAGAUUCCCCCAGUAGCGGCGAGCGAACGGGGAGCAGCCCAGAGCCUGAAUCAGUGUGUGUGUUAGUGGAAGCGUCUGGAAAGGCGCGCGAUACAGGGUGACAGCCCCGUACACAAAAAUGCACAUACUGUGAGCUCGAUGAGUAGGGCGGGACACGUGGUAUCCUGUCUGAAUAUGGGGGGACCAUCCUCCAAGGCUAAAUACUCCUGACUGACCGAUAGUGAACCAGUACCGUGAGGGAAAGGCGAAAAGAACCCCGGCGAGGGGAGUGAAAAAGAACCUGAAACCGUGUACGUACAAGCAGUGGGAGCCUCUUUUAUGGGGUGACUGCGUACCUUUUGUAUAAUGGGUCAGCGACUUAUAUUCUGUAGCAAGGUUAACCGAAUAGGGGAGCCGAAGGGAAACCGAGUCUUAACCGGGCGUUAAGUUGCAGGGUAUAGACCCGAAACCCGGUGAUCUAGCCAUGGGCAGGUUGAAGGUUGGGUAACACUAACUGGAGGACCGAACCGACUAAUGUUGAAAAAUUAGCGGAUGACUUGUGGCUGGGGGUGAAAGGCCAAUCAAACCGGGAGAUAGCUGGUUCUCCCCGAAAGCUAUUUAGGUAGCGCCUCGUGAAUUCAUCUCCGGGGGUAGAGCACUGUUUCGGCAAGGGGGUCAUCCCGACUUACCAACCCGAUGCAAACUGCGAAUACCGGAGAAUGUUAUCACGGGAGACACACGGCGGGUGCUAACGUCCGUCGUGAAGAGGGAAACAACCCAGACCGCCAGCUAAGGUCCCAAAGUCAUGGUUAAGUGGGAAACGAUGUGGGAAGGCCCAGACAGCCAGGAUGUUGGCUUAGAAGCAGCCAUCAUUUAAAGAAAGCGUAAUAGCUCACUGGUCGAGUCGGCCUGCGCGGAAGAUGUAACGGGGCUAAACCAUGCACCGAAGCUGCGGCAGCGACACUGUGUGUUGUUGGGUAGGGGAGCGU
rnacentral:rRNA from 1 species